GGUUGCUCACGGGCCCCACUACAGAAGCUUGAGAGUUUUCCCGGCUCAGCCAUUACCCAGAAAGCUCACGGCUGUGUGUGCACUGUGGCCGUGCCUGAUGUGCUGAGGGACUCGUUUAGGAAUGCUGUCAUUUGGCUUGGGGAAGGGCCAGGCCUCUCUCUGCCCAUAGCAUUGAGGACAGAGGCACAGGUCUCCGUCACUGGGCUGACAGCUUCCAUUCUUCCAAAUCUCAUCUUCCGAGCUAGUCUGCCAUGGAUGAAGUGGGCAUGCAUGUGUUUUAUGCUUUGUACUUCUGCCUCCGUCCAUCUACAAUCCUAGGCAACACUGAAACCACACUCCUCUGAACCACUGUGUGCACCGGCGAGGCCUUCUCAUGGAUGGUCGCAGUCAUUCUCAUUUCUGCGCAUGCUUCCUCCAGGCCAGGCUCACAGGUGGGCCUGCCGGGUGAUUCUGGAUCCUGUGAAGUUGACAGCUUACAUUAACCAUCACACGUAGCAUGCAAAAUCUGAUUUCUUAAUGGAAGAUACAGCACAAGAUCUGGGAGAAAUUUCAAUGUUGUGUAAAAGGAACACCGUAGAAGAACGAAGUCCUAUGAGGAGAAUUCUUUGUGAGAAAACCUGAGACUUGUGACCUCGGUUUCUUCAAAACAUGGACUUAUUCUUGGGAUGGUUUUGUGCUCCUCCCAGGUGUAGUGGAUGGAGUGGGUGGACUUCAGAUUACUCAUUAGUGCUUGCAGUUGUUGUUAAGUGUUUAGACAAUCCUUUCUAGUCCUCUAGAGAAAACCAUGGUUUUUACCACAUGGGGCUUGUUCUUGUGAUUUUAUACAGCACGAAACUCAUGAGAACUUUAUUCAUGUGAUUUUUCUUAACCCUCAGAGUAUAAAUUGUCCGAAGCCCUGAAUAGAGAUGAGCAUUGCAUGAGAUUGUAGCCUCCUUGUUUAUCGGCUCUAUUCUCCCACAUGUGAAGGUUAUCACGAUAAUCACAUCCACUCAGGCACCGAAAGACGAGUAUUACAUGCCUUCUGUCCUUGCGGAUCCCAGAUUUUUAUAUCAAUACAGAAAGGUGUCUACUUACCAUGUACACAGCAUGAAAGAAGAAGCUAAAGGGAAGGGGAUGAGUGGGGUGGGAAAAGGAGAGAAAGGAGAGAGUGCAAACGGGAGGACGUGCUGGGAGGGCAUGCUGUACUCACAUGCAAGUGUCCUCCUGAAACCCAGGACUAUGUGCAGGGGCAGCACGCCAGAGGGACCGUGCAUUAAAGAGCUGUGAGUAGGGCACGCGUUUGAGGGCUUUCUACUCAUUAGCUGGCUGACUUCUCAUGGCCACCAUUGUUAUCUUUACCUUAAUAAUGAAGAAACGAAACCGAAGUGCAAAGAACUUUCCCAGAGUUUCAUAGAAGAUACAGGCAUGCUGCAAACUAAUGAUCUUUCAUUUGAAAAUAAUUAAAAAAUUUUUUUGAGAUUAUACUUACUAUGCCCCCUGACUUUUCCUUUCCUUUCUCCAAUCUUCCCUGUGUACCUCCAUCUUGUUCUUUUUGAAAUUUAUGGCUUCUUUGUAAAAUUGUAUUGUUCUUAACGUGUGUGCAUGUGUGUGUGUGUGUUUCUAAACACAUAAAUACAACCUUUAUCAGUCUGUAUU